rnacentral:rRNA from 1 species
UACAGAGGGGGCAAGCGUUGUUCGGAAUUACUGGGCGUAAAGGGCGCGUAGGCGGCCCGCUAAGUCGAACGUGAAAUCCCCGGGCUCAACCCGGGAACUGCGUCCGAUACUGGCAGGCUUGAAUUCGGGAGAGGGAUGUGGAAUUCCAGGUGUAGCGGUGAAAUGCGUAGAUAUCUGGAGGAACACCGGUGGCGAAGGCGGCAUCCUGGACCGAUAUUGACGCUGAUGCGCGAAAGCCAGGGGGGAGCAAACGGG